rnacentral:rRNA from 1 species
GACGAACGCUGGCGGCGUGCUUAACACAUGCAAGUCGAACGGAAAGGCCCCUUUGGGGGUACUCGAGUGGCGAACGGGUGAGUAACACGUGAGUAACCUGCCCUUGACUUCGGGAUAGCUUCAGGAAACUGGGGCUAAUACCGGAUAGGAAUCCUUGCUGCAUGGUGGGGGUUGGAAAGCUUCGGCGGUUUUGGAUGGACUCGCGGCUUAUCAGCUUGUUGGUGGGGUAGUGGCUUACCAAGGCUUUGACGGGUAGCCGGCCUGAGAGGGCGACCGGCCACAUUGGGACUGAGAUACGGCCCAGACUCCUACGGGAGGCAGCAGUGGGGAAUAUUGCACAAUGGGCGGAAGCCUGAUGCAGCAACGCCGCGUGCGGGAUGACGGCCUUCGGGUUGUAAACCGCUUUCAGCAGGGGCGAAGCUUGUGGUGACGGUACCUGCAGAAGAAGCACCGGCUAACUACGUG